GGAGAGAUGGCAGAGUGGUCGAAUGCGACGGUCUUGAAAACCGUUGAGCCCGUAAGGGUUCCCUGGGUUCGAAUCCCAGUCUCUCCGCCA
rnacentral:tRNA from 3 species